rnacentral:rRNA from 1 species
UCUUGACAUCCUCUGACAAUCCUAGAGAUAGGACGUCUCCUUCGGGAGCAGAGUGACAGGUGGUGCAUGGUUGUCGUCAGCUCGUGUCGUGAGAUGUUGGGUUAAGUCCCGCAACGAGCGCAACCCUUGAUCUUAGUUGCCAAUCAUUCAGUUGGGCACUCUAAGGUGACUGCCGGUGACAAACCGGAGGAAGGUGGGGAUGACGUCAAAUCAUCAUGCCCCUUAUGACCUGGGCUACACACGUGCUACAAUGGACAGAACAAAGAGCAGCAAAACCGCGAGGUGGAGCCAAUCUCACAAAUCCGUUCUCAGUUCGGAUCGCAGGCUGCAACUCGCCUACGUGAAGCUGGAAUCGCUAGUAAUCGCGGAUCAGCAUGCCGCGGUGAAUACGUUCCCGGGCCUUGUACACACCGCCCGUCACACCACGAGAGUUUGUAACACCCGAAGUCGGUG